UACGUAGGGGGCAAGCGUUGUCCGGAUUUAUUGGGCGUAAAGAGCGUGUAGGCGGCCGUACAGGUCAGCUGUGAAACUCGAGGCUCAACCUCGAGACGUCGGUUGAAACCGUACGGCGUAGAGUCCGGAAGAGGAGAGUGGAAUUCCCGGUGUAGCGGUGAAAUGCGCAGAUAUCGGGAAGAACACCCGUGGCGAAGGCGGCUCUCUGGGACGGUACUGACGCUGAGACGCGAAAGCGUGGGGAGCAACAGG
rnacentral:rRNA from 1 species